CCUACGGGAGGCUGCAGUGAGGAAUAUUGGUCAAUGGGCGCGAGCCUGAACCAGCCAAGUCGCGUGAGGGAAGACGGUCCUAUGGAUUGUAAACCUCUUUUGUCGGGGAGCAAAAGACGCCACGCGUGGCGUUCCGAGAGUACCCGAAGAAAAAGCAUCGGCUAACUCCGUGCCAGCAGCCGCGGUAAUACGGAGGAUGCGAGCGUUAUCCGGAUUUAUUGGGUUUAAAGGGUGCGCAGGCGGAAGAUCAAGUCAGCGGGAAAAUUGAGAGGCUCAACCUCUUCGAGCCGUUGAAACUGGUUUUCUUGAGUGAGUGAGAAGUAUGCGGAAUGCGUGGUGUAGCGGUGAAAUGCAUAGAUAUCACGCAGAACUCCGAGUGCGAAGGAAGCAUACCGGCGCUCAACUGACGCUCAUGCACGAAAGUGUGGGUAUCGAACAGGAUUAGAUACCCCGGUAGUC
rnacentral:rRNA from 1 species